rnacentral:rRNA from 1 species
AUGGCGGCGGAUUCGCAGCUUCCACGGCCACUCCACCUCGGGCAGCGUGGAUCACGGCCAGCGGCCCGAUGGAGGCGGGUACCGGCGUGGUUACUAUUCUGCCCUGCUCUCCCUCCAUGUCUCCUCCUGAGCCUCCGGUGGCCAGAUGCCUCUUCCACUAGGUCAGACAGUGUGCAGCCACACCUGGUCAACAUCCAGUUUCAGAAGAAUGUACAUCUGCAAGUAACCACGACGAGUAAACGAUCUUCUGCUGCCUUCCACUCAAUUUUGUUUGGAUGGUGCGUGAUUCCUUUCAUCGAGUCUUCGAUAAACCAAAUAGUUACUAGAGUAGUUAAUUAG